GAGGGUAUAACUCAAGGGUAGAGUGCGUGCUUAGCAUGCACGAGGUCCUGGGUUCAAUCCCCAGUACCUCUA
rnacentral:tRNA from 1 species